UCUACCCUACUCUAAAUUAGGAAACAAAAAAAAAAUACAACUUAUGAAAGGGAAAAGGGGACUGGUCAUUUUCUACAGCUCAAACCCUAGACUAGGAAAGGGGAUCAUAUUUUUGCAUCAGCAUUUCGUGCUCCAGCUUCGGGAACCUUCACCAACAACAUGAAACGCCUCAAUUUGUACAACACAAUUUCAGUAUAUUUCAUAUCGAAUGUUAAUUAGUCUCACUAACAUCAUGAAAUCAUCAUAAUCAAAGACUUCUCCAACUCAAUUUAAUUUAGUCGAUACUUCAAGUUGAGCUCAUCAAGGAUAUAAUACCACUGUCUAAGGCCUUCAAAAAAUAAUACUUCUAUCUUCCUUAGGUAUUAUUCGAUUACUGGUAACCUGCUCAGUGCUAUUUCAUCAACGUACCUCUGUAUUUGAUUUUCGUCUGUCCAUUCAACUUCUACAUUUGAUUGUAUUAUCUUGAACUUUAUGUACAACUUA